rnacentral:rRNA from 1 species
UACGUAGGGUGCAAGCGUUGUCCGGAAUUAUUGGGCGUAAAGAGCUCGUAGGCGGUUAGUCGCGUCUGCUGUGAAAACUCGGGGCUUAACUCCGGGCCUGCAGUGGGUACGGGCUGACUAGAGUGCGGUAGGGGGAGACUGGAAUUCCUGGUGUAGCGGUGAAAUGCGCAGAUAUCAGGAGGAACACCGGUGGCGAAGGCGGGUCUCUGGGCCGUAACUGACGCUGAGGAGCGAAAGCGUGGGGAGCGAACAGG